rnacentral:rRNA from 1 species
GAUGAACGCUGGCGGCGUGCCUAAUACAUGCAAGUCGAGCGAACGGACGAGAAGCUUGCUUCUCUGAUGUUAGCGGCGGACGGGUGAGUAACACGUGGAUAACCUACCUAUAAGACUGGGAUAACUUCGGGAAACCGGAGCUAAUACCGGAUAAUAUUUUGAACCGCAUGGUUCAAAAGUGAAAGACGGUCUUGCUGUCACUUAUAGAUGGAUCCGCGCUGCAUUAGCUAGUUGGUAAGGUAACGGCUUACCAAGGCAACGAUGCAUAGCCGACCUGAGAGGGUGAUCGGCCACCCUGGAACUGAGACACGGUCCAGACUCCUACGGGAGGCAGCAGUAGGGAAUCUUCCGCAAUGAGCGAAAGCCUAACGGAGCAACGCCGCGUGAGUGAUGAAGGUCUUCGGAUCGUAAGACUCUGUUAUUAGGGAAGAACAUAUGUGUAAGUAACUGUGCACAUCUUGACGGUACCUAAUCAGAAAGCCACGGCUAACUACGUG